GACAGAGGGUGCAAACGUUGCUCGGAAUCACUGGGCGUGAAGCGCACGUAGGCGGGUCUUUAAGUCGGGGGUGAAAUCCUGGAGCUCAACUCCAGAACUGCCUUCGAUACUGAGGAUCUCGAGUCCGGGAGAGGUGAGUGGAACUCCGAGUGUAGAGGUGAAAUUCGUAGAUAUUGGGAAGAACACCAGUGGCGAAGGCGGCUCACUGGCCCGUAACUGACGCUGAGGUGCGAAAGCGUGGGGAGCAAACAGG
rnacentral:rRNA from 1 species